AUCGCUUCUCAGCCUCUUGGCUAUGAUCAAGUGUAGUAUCUGUUCUUAUCAGUUUAAUAUCUGAUACGUCCUCUAUCCGAGGACAAUAUAUUAAAUGGAUUUUUGGAGCAGGGAAAAAGAAGAAAAAUU
ensembl:snRNA U2 U2 spliceosomal RNA